rnacentral:rRNA from 1 species
ACAGGGAUUGCCCUAGUAACGGCGAGUGAAGCGGCAACAGCUCAAAUUUGAAAUCUGAUCUCUUCGAGGUCCGAGUUGUAAUUUGUAGAGGGUGCUUUGGUGUUGGCUGCGGUCUAAGUUCCUUGGAACAGGACGUCAUAGAGGGUGAGAAUCCCGUCUGUGGUCGCAUGUCUUCACUGUGUAAAGCCCCUUCGACGAGUCGAGUUGUUUGGGAAUGCAGCUCUAAAUGGGAGGUAAAUUUCUUCUAAAGCUAAAUACUGGCCAGAGACCGAUAGCGCACAAGUAGAGUGAUCGAAAGAUGAAAAGCACUUUGGAAAGAGAGUCAAACAGCACGUGAAAUUGUUGAAAGGGAAGCGCUUGCAGCCAGACUUGCUUGCAGUUGCUCAUCCGGGCGCUCGCCCGGUGCACUCUUCUGUAGGCAGGCCAGCAUCAGUUUGGGCGGUUGGAUAAAGGCCUCUGUCAUGUAUCUUCUCCGGAAGACCUUAUAGGGGAGGCGUAAUGCAACCAGCCUGGACUGAGGUCCGCGCAUCUGCUAGGAUGCUGGCGUAAUGGCUGUAAGCGGCCCGUCUUGAAACACGGACCAAGGAGUCUAACAUCUAUGCGAGUGUUUGGGUGUCAAGCCCGAGCGCGUAAUGAAAGUGAACGGAGGUGGGAACCCUCGGGUGCACCAUCGACCGAUCCUGAUGUCUUCGGAUGGAUUUGAGUAAGAGCAUAGCUGUUGGGACCCGAAAGAUGGUGAACUAUGCUUGAAUAGGGUGAAGCCAGAGGAAACUCUGGUGGAGGCUCGCAGCGGUUCUGACGUGCAAAUCGAUCGUCAAAUUUGGGCAUAGGGGCGAAAGACUAAUCGAACUAUCUAGUAGCUGGUUCCUGCCGAA